GUUGUGUGACGGUCAGCUUUGCGGGGUGGGCAGUCAGCCUCCGUGUGGCCGCUGUGCAAACCCAUGCAAAACUGAGCGCUGCGCUAC
ensembl:miRNA mir19d microRNA 19d